GACGAACGCUGGCGGCAUGCCUAACACAUGCAAGUCGAACGAGAACGUCGGGUCUAGUGGCGCACGGGUGCGUACCGAGUGGGAAUCUGCCCCUUGCUUCGGAAUACCAGUGAGAAAUUACUGCUCAUACCGGAUGAUGUCUCCGGACCAAAGAUGUAUCGGCAAGGGAUGAGGCCGCGUAGGAUUCGGUAGUUGGUGGGGUAAUGGCCUGUCAAGCCGACGAUCCUGGGCUGGUCUGAGAGGAUGAUCAGCUGCACUGGGACUGAGACACGGCCGAGACUGGUACGGGAGGCAGCAGUGUAGUGUACAAGAGAAGGAGCCAAAGCCUAGUCAAGCAGUGCGGCGUGAGUCAUGAAGGCCUUAGGAUUCUAAAGCCCUUUUUGAAGAAGUGAUAGUGACAGUACCGGGUAAAGAAGCUCCGGCUAACUACGUG
rnacentral:rRNA from 1 species